rnacentral:rRNA from 1 species
UACGUAGGGUGCGAGCGUUAAUCGGAGUUACUGGGCGUAAAGUGUGCGCAGGCGGCUUCGCAAGUCGAGUGUGAAAUCCCCGAGCUUAACUUGGGAAUUGCGCUCGAAACUACGGAGCUGGAGUGUGGCAGAGGAAGGUGGAAUUCCACGUGUAGCGGUGAAAUGCGUAGAGAUGUGGAGGAACACCGAUGGCGAAGGCAGCCUUCUGGGCCAACACUGACGCUCAUGCACGAAAGCGUGGGGAGCAAACAGG